GUCAGGUUGAGUUGAGAGCUAACCUAAGGUGUGCUUUGUCUGUGUUGUUCCACUUUAAGAAGUAACUCAUGGAAUGAUUUCCUUUAUAAAAAGGUUUAAUUUCACUUCAUGAGCAUAUUUUUUAACAUUUUUUGAAAUUUUAAAUAUAUUCCGCAUUUUAUUGGUUGAUAGACAAUCUUCGGAUAAAAAAAAGCCGAUGAUCUGCCAUCCAGAUUAUUGGAUUGUAAGAUGGCGUAGGGCCUACUCUUCAAGUAUUAAGAAGAGUGUUAAAAGAAAGAGUCUGCAUAGUCAAGCAAAGGAAAUUAUACUGAACGUUUACGGCAAAUUAGUAGAACAACAUCCCGAUAAAUUAGUCAAGGACAUUACACAUAUGGUAGCAGACGUAGUCGAUGUCUCCGUAGCACCAAUCUUCAGAAUAAGGAAGGAAGUGAAGUUUUUAUUAAAGAAAUGAAGUAAAAAUUAAAGUUAACAGAUUUAAAAUUAUUUAAAGAACGGAAAAUUAAUUAUUUUAUCUCUUAUUAAAGUAAUAAAGUACUGUAAAUUGUAUAGGACUUGAUUAACGUAUUUUAAAAAAGCCUCUGUAUAAAUCAACUUCUAGCAGCAAAAUGAUACGUAGUGGGCGCUUCGCCGGUUGAUGACUUCAUAGGUAUCAACUCAAAUUGAUAUAGACUAUAGUUAGUUCCCGGCCACUAUCUG
rnacentral:lncRNA from 1 species